GCUAGAUUGAUUGAUGAGAUAUGAAUAUGUCGUACAGGUUACUACAAGUGACUCCGACUUAUAUGCUAGCAAUGAUUGAUGAGAUAUUGAUGAGAUAUGGAUAAGUCGUACAGGUCACUAGAGGUGACUUCCGACUUAUGAGCUAGCUUAUGUGAUGAGAUAUGGAUAAGUCGUACAGGUCACUAGAGGUGACUCCCGACUUAUGAGCUAGCAUAUGUGAUGAGAUAUGGAUAAGUCGUACAGAUCACUAGAGGUGACUCCCGAUUUAUGAGCUAGCAUAUGUGAUGAGAUAUGUGAUGAGCUAGCACAUGUGAUGAAAUAUGUAAUGAGCUAGCAUAUAUGAUGAAAUAUGUGAUGAGCCAGCAUAUGUGAUGAAAUAUGUGAUGAACUAGCAUGUGUGAUGAAAUAGGUGAUGAACUAGUAUAUGUGAUAAGAUAUGGGUAAGUCGUACAGGUCACCCUAGGUGACUCCGACUUGCAUACU
rnacentral:lncRNA from 1 species